rnacentral:lncRNA from 10 species
CAACCACUAAUCUACUUUCUGUCUCUAUAUAGUUUUACCUACUCUGGCCAUUUCAUAUAAAUGGAAUCAUACAAUACAGUCUUUUGUGACUGCUUCUUUCACUUUCAUAAUGUCUUCAAAGUUCAUUUAUGUUGUAGCAUUUAUCAGUACCUCAUUUCUUUUUCAUUACCAAAUAUUUCAUUGUAUGUAUAUAUCGCACCUUAUCAAUUUAUCAGUUGAUGGACUGGUAAGUCGAUAAAAACAAGUCCAUCAACUGAUAAAUGGGUUGUUUCCACUUUUUGUCUAUUAUGAAUAACAUUCACGUACAAGUUUUCAUGUGAACACAUUUCCAUUCUCUUGGGUAUAUACCAAACUAAAAAAGUGGAAUUAGCCAGGCAUGGCUCACACCUGUAAUCCCAGCACUUUGGGAGGCCAACGUGUAUUACUUGACCUCACAAGUUCAAGACCAGCCUGGGCAACAUGGCAAAAUCCCGUCUCUUAAAAAAAAAUACAAAAAUUAGCCAGGCGUGGUGUUGCAUGCCUAUAGUCCCAGCUGCUGGGGAGGCUGAGGUGGGAGGAUCACUUAAGCCCAGGAGAUGGAGGUUACAGUGAGCCAUGAUUGCACCACUGCACUCAGCUUAG